rnacentral:lncRNA from 1 species
ACCGCGCCCGCCUCGCCUCCCGCGGCUGCCAGCGUGCACUGGGCGCUCCUCGGCGCGUCUGCCCGGCCCGUCUCGGCUUUCCUUCUCCUUCCUCUAGUCCCAGCGUCACAACUCCGCCGACCUCCUCUGCCCUGAGAGCGCGUCCGGUGCGGGCGGAGUCGGACGGACUCUGGCUUCACGCCUCGCGCGGGCACACCUUCUCCCGGGCACUGAGGCCCAGGGGAGGCAGAGUCCUUCUGGAGUUUGACCCUUGGAUUCCAUCCAGAGCAGCCUCCAAAAUGACACCUUUGAAGUUGUGUAUCGAGCUGGGGGAUGUAAAGGGAGGAGAAGAAAGAAGAUGAAGAGAUACCAGCCAGCCUUAAGGAGUGGACAUCCUGCCUGGUGAAACUGAACAAGACACCUACCGCAUAUGGAGUUUCGCUCUGUCGCCCAGGCUGGAGUGCAGUGGUGCCAUCUCGGCUCACCGCAACCUCCACCUCCAGGUUCAAGUGAUUCUCCUGCCUCAGCCUCUCAAGUAGCUGGGAUUACAGGUGUGUGCCAGCAUACCCAGCUAUUUUUUUUUUUUUUGUAUUUUUAAAGAGACAGGAUUUCAUCAUAUUGGCCAGGCUGGUCUCAAACUCCUGGCCUCACUGAUCUGCCCAUCUCGGCCUCCCAAAGUGCUGGGAUUACAGGCAUGAGCCACCACACCUGGCCUAACAACACCUCUGUUACUGACAGUAGAGUGCUGGAGUGGGUUCCUACUGGCUAACAGAACCCACUGGAGUGGGUUCCUACUGGCAAACGUUUGGGCAUCUCUUCCCAAUUCUGCAUGCAUUGACAUCCCAUUGGUAGCUUGAAAUUGACCAUCGUGGGAGUAUUUACACCACAGAAAUUGGCAAAUGCUACAAAUCAGGACUCCUUUUUUCUUUCAAAAAGCUGGUUGCCCUCUCCCACCGCUCCUACACUGCUGGUAAAAGGCAGCCGCACUGCCUGCUGGAAGACCUGCCAGCUUGGGCUUCAGAGCACUUCUGCCUCAGAUCCACGACGAUCCCUUCUGUCAUCGUGGGACCUUUCCUGGGAUUUGAUUUAGGGCGACGCUUCCUCCUGUCUGUGUCCUGAGUCCUGCCUUCCCUGGCUGGUCCUCUUUGCUUAGUCACCCAGAUCAUUCCCAGACAGCUGCGCCCUGGAUAUGGCUCCUCUCAUGUGCUGCCUGGAAAUGUCUCCUCUCUUCUCACCUGCUGAGAGGUCCUUCUGGGCAGGGACUCGGGCAGAUUCAUUCCUGCCUGCCCCACAUUUCCCUAGCCCAGGGCCUGGCCCGUUGCAGUGCUGAAGGAUGAUUCUGGUAAGAAACAAGGUACUCCAGCUCACAUCUUGCAAUGAUUAUGCCUCCCCCACUCUCCCUUCUCCUUGCAGUUCUCUCUCUUCACUGAUGAUUUUGGAUGCAAUUUAAAAUAAAAAUAUUGAUUAAAAAUGGAAACUAUAUAAAUAAAAAUAAAAACACUUAACAUCAAUGUGUCAUUUGAGCUUUAACAUAAAGAGAAAACAUGUGAAGGUGACAAUUUGUGGACAAUUCCAAAUUAGCAUGAAGUUCUCAGCUGGUAAGUAUCUUGACUUUUUUCCCCUCUCUUGGGGUCUGUGGAAUCCUGACCAGGCAUGUGGUGCAGUAGAAUGGGAGGAACUUGGCUUCGGCCUUGAUAAGCCUGGGUUGAAUCUUCCACUUAUGGGCUUUCUGAAGCUCAGUUUCCUUAUCUGUGUAAUGGGGAGAAAGACCCUACUUCAUGGCGUGAUUGUGAGGCUGAUAGAAAAGGGCACACAGGGGCCAGGCCCAGUGGCUCAUGCCUGCAAUCCCAGCACUUUGGGAGG